AAACCUGAGAAACCCGAAAGAUCGAAUGGGGAGAUUCAUCGUCAGCGAUUCUGGUACGUGUGCGGCUCGCGAUGUUCGAGACUUCGGUCUCGCGGCACGCGUCCGCAUGUUUUUUAUUGCCGGAAUCGUCGGCGUGCACUUCUCCCCUAGUAGGACGUCGCGACCCGUUGGGUGUCGGUCUACGGCACGGUAGGUAGCCUGUCACGUGUGCGCUUCACGGCGUUACGCGGGGCAGACCUCCGUUCGCCCGACCGGCUGCUCGGCGGUACUCGCAAGGUAUCUGGCCGCAGACAUACGAACUGCGUCCGGCCCGUCGCAAGCGCGGCAAGUGUUUCCCGGCUGUACGGAUCUAAUGCCGUCACCGGGCCUUGCCAGCUGUUGGCUGACGGUGUCCUAGGACUGGCUAACAGAUACCGGUCGGCGACGCUACUGCUUUGGGUACUUUCAGGACCCGUCUUGAAACACGGACCAAGGAGUCUAACAUGUGCGCGAGUCAUUGGGAUCUAUUAAGCCUAAAGGCGCAAUGAAAGUGAAGAUCGGCCUCGCGCCGAUCGAGGGAGGAUGGGCCGCGUCACGAUGCGGUCCCGCACUCCCGGGGCGUCUCGUUCUCAU
rnacentral:rRNA from 1 species